GAGAACGCGAGUACGUACUUGCGUACUUGAGAAUUGAGAAACGGCCCAGGUGAAAGUCUGCCAGCCGGACUUCACAGCUGGACUUCCUCCCUCUGUUAAACAGGAAGUGCUCCCACACCCAGCUCCAGUCUGCUAACAUGCUAACAGGGAUAUAUCAGAAACAGACCUGAGAGUUUAGAUGGAGGAAGGAUGAACCCCCCCCCCAUAUCAUCAUCAUAACAACCUCAGGUUAAUCUUCACCUGCUGAGCUGCAGCUGCAUCACCUUCCUGUCUUUACCAGCACUGCCUCCAUCAGGGGAGACAGCAGGUGGAGAUGGCACGUUUCCAGCUCAGUGUUGUGUGGUGUUGGUCGGGGGUUUCUCUGGUCCCAGAUCUAUUAAUUCAGAUUGAUCUGAGCCGCUUUGUCACAAGCAUCCGGCGCUCCAUGCGGCCCCGGGCUCCACACCGCCGCUGCCAGAGCAUCCACCCCUCAACCAUCACAGGAGGAGCUGGUCUCCUCCACUCUCAAUCCUGCUGCUUCUCUUCAGCAGCUCGUCUGAAGGAUCAGCAGUCGCAGACAAAUACUGAGUGAGAGUUUCAGUCUCAGCUCCCACACCACUCAUGAGAGGGACCAGCGUGACUGCAGGCAGCCAGUAUAAACCAGUAUGCAAAUCAUUAUAAAUUGUAAUAAUAAAAGGUAAGAUGG